rnacentral:misc_RNA from 1 species
UGUUGAUUGCCACUCGAACAUUUGUAUUUUCUUUGUUAGUCCCAAACUGCUCUCAUAAACAUGGUUUAGUCUAUGGAUAACAAGCAGGACAUAGAUGUAUAUGAAUUCAGUUGAUCAAGAUUAUGAGUCUACUCAAACGAUAAGCUUGAAAGCAAGAAGGAAGUAAUUAAUUUGACACUUGCAAGUUAAAUGCAGCCCAUGCUGCCAGAUAUUAAAAAUUAGAUCAACG